UACAGUUUUAAAGAAUACCUUCAGUAGUUGAAUAUUUUUGAGAUUCUGUUUAAUAAAUUUUGGUGUUUGAUCUUGACAUGGUAUUACAUAUUUCAUCAUGAAAUAGUGAGUGGUUCAAGUUUUUCAGCUUCCAUUCUUCAUAGUUAAGCUGAAUUAUCAGUGUUGACAAAUGAGCUUGUCCAUACUGUAAGCUGAAGGGGCUGAUAUGAUAUGAGUAAACUUUUUCUAUAUGGGCACUUUAGUCCCUAAACUUACAAACUGUAAGACAGAUCAAUUGUUUUUUGUGAGUUUUGGUUGUUUGGAGGAGGGACUUAAAUAUCUCAUUUUGUAAGUUUUAAGGACUGAUCUAUCUCGUAGUUUUUAAAUUUAGGAACUACCGGUUUAAUAAACAAAGAUCCGGGACUGAAGUGGUCACUCAAGAGAGUUUGAGGACUACUUUGAUAUAGUUGGUCCUUUAUAUUUGAACCCUGAAUCCAAGAGUAUCGAGUCCACUAUUUAGCAAAUAAGGAGGCUUAAAUAAUUUGCAAUUUGAAUUCUGAUUGUGUCAAGUCUCUUCUUUAACAUGUUCAGGUUUUCUCUAUCGUGUUCUCCAUUUUGAAAAUGAAUGUUCCUUCCAUGUAUAUCUUAUGAACAAUAUUUUGCAUGACAAAGUUUCACUUUGAUUCCCUUGCCUUUCUGGUUGCCUGGGUUGCUGUUUGACAAUUUUUUUCACAUUCGAUGUCAUUUUUCUAGGUGGCGACAUUUCGAGGAAAAAGAAGUUACUUAAGAAACAGGCUGAAGGAAAGAAAAGGAUGAAGUCCAUUGGUAAAGUUGAUGUGCCUCAAGAAGCUUUCAUGGCGGUUUUGAAAUUGGAAAAGGAGGUGAUAUGAUCACGUAUACAUGUAACGUAAGUUGCAGCAUUAUCUGAAAUUUGUAAAUAUAAAGUGAAAAUUCAAAACCUUGAUGUAUUACUGCUUUGGUAUAACGGUCCAAGUAUUGUCCUUCAAUGAUUUUAAGCUGCAUACAGUGCAAGAUUUUGUGAUUUUGACUCGGUUCCCUUAAGGGAGGAAAAAAAGAAAAAAGUUGAAACGUAGCAC